rnacentral:tRNA from 1 species
GGGGCCGUGGUCUAGCCAGGUAUGACGUCGGGCUCCAGAACAGAUUUGGGUUUACCGACCCCUCCUGGGGGAUGAGGAGGUUUUGGAGCGGAAACCCGAAUGUCGGAGGUUCGAAUCCUCCCGGCCCCA